GGCAAAGUAUGAGGCACUCGGCGACGUCCCAGUUUCCAGUAGUGAUUUGUAUAUAUGAUGUUAGAUAACCAUGGAUUGAUCACAAUUGUAUGAAUGUCACUGCUGAGGUAAGUGAUACACAAACCUAUUCAUCUUUAGAUAGAUUGUGCAAUUGAAUAGCUAUAUCCUAGAAUUUAUCAAAAAAAUAUUAGCCAUUACAAAAGGACAACAAACACCAAACAGUCACUAAAAAUAAGAGUAUAUCAAAGACAGAUUUGGUUGUCUUCCUCAAAUCGUCAACUACAUGCCGAAACUUGAUAAUUGCACUAGAACACAAAAAAAAUCACUCAUCAUUGGUAAUGAGGUCUAGUAUCCCACUGAAAGAACACCAUUUGAGGGAAUCCCUAGGAAUUCAAGCUUCUUUACCACAAAGAUAAAGUGCUCGAGAAACCAGGACAUUG
rnacentral:lncRNA from 1 species